rnacentral:rRNA from 1 species
AGGGUUCGAUUCUGGCUCAGGAUGAACGCUGGCGGCGUGCUUAACACAUGCAAGUCGAACGGGAUCCCAGGAGCUUGCUCCUGGGUGAGAGUGGCGAACGGGUGAGUAAUGCGUGACCGACCUGCCCCAUACACCGGAAUAGCUCCUGGAAACGGGUGGUAAUGCCGGAUGCUCCAGUUGGAUGCAUGUCCUUCUGGGAAAGAUUCAUCGGUAUGGGAUGGGGUCGCGUCCUAUCAGCUUGAUGGCGGGGUAACGGCCCACCAUGGCUUCGACGGGUAGCCGGCCUGAGAGGGCGACCGGCCACAUUGGGACUGAGAUACGGCCCAGACUCCUACGGGAGGCAGCAGUGGGGAAUAUUGCACAAUGGGCGCAAGCCUGAUGCAGCGACGCCGCGUGCGGGAUGACGGCCUUCGGGUUGUAAACCGCUUUUGUUGGGGAGCAAGCCUUCGGGUGAGUGUACCCUUCGAAUAAGCACCGGCUAACUACGUGCCAGCAGCCGCGGUAAUACGUAGGGUGCAAGCGUUAUCCGGAAUUAUUGGGCGUAAAGGGCUCGUAGGCGGUUCGUCGCGUCCGGUGUGAAAGUCCAUCGCUUAACGGUGGAUCCGCGCCGGGUACGGGCGGGCUUGAGUGCGGUAGGGGAGACUGGAAUUCCCGGUGUAACGGUGGAAUGUGUAGAUAUCGGGAAGAACACCAAUGGCGAAGGCAGGUCUCUGGGCCGUCACUGACGCUGAGGAGCGAAAGCGUGGGGAGCGAACAGGAUUAGAUACCCUGGUAGUCCACGCCGUAAACGGUGGAUGCUGGAUGUGGGGCCCAUUCCACGGGUUCCGUGUCGGAGCUAACGCGUUAAGCAUCCCGCCUGGGGAGUACGGCCGCAAGGCUAAAACUCAAAGAAAUUGACGGGGGCCCGCACAAGCGGCGGAGCAUGCGGAUUAAUUCGAUGCAACGCGAAGAACCUUACCUGGGCUUGACAUGUUCCCGACAGCCCCAGAGAUGGGGCCUCCCUUCGGGGCGGGUUCACAGGUGGUGCAUGGUCGUCGUCAGCUCGUGUCGUGAGAUGUUGGGU